AUUGAACGCUGGCGGCAUGCUUUACACAUGCAAGUCGAACGGUAACAGGGUGCUUGCACCGCUGACGAGUGGCGAACGGGUGAGUAAUGCAUCGGAACGUACCCAGUCGUGGGGGAUAACGUAGCGAAAGUUACGCUAAUACCGCAUACGUCCUGAGAGAGAAAGCGGGGGACCGUAAGGCCUCGCGCGAUUGGAGCGGCCGGUGUCGGAUUAGCUAGUUGGUAGGGUAAAGGCCUACCAAGGCGACGAUCCGUAGCGGGUCUGAGAGGAUGAUCCGCCACACUGGGACUGAGACACGGCCCAGACUCCUACGGGAGGCAGCAGUGGGGAAUUUUGGACAAUGGGCGAAAGCCUGAUCCAGCCAUGCCGCGUGAGUGAAGAAGGCCUUCGGGUUGUAAAGCUCUUUCAGCCGGAAAGAAAUCGCGCAGGAUAAUACUCUGCGUGGAUGACGGUACCGGCAGAAGAAGCACCGGCUAACUACGUGCCAGCAGCCGCGGUAAUAC
rnacentral:rRNA from 1 species